AGCGAACGCUGGCGGCAGGCUUAACACAUGCAAGUCGAGCGGGCGUAGCAAUACGUCAGCGGCAGACGGGUGAGUAACACGUGGGAACGUACCUUUUGGUUCGGAACAACACAGGGAAACUUGUGCUAAUACCGAAUAAGCCCUUACGGGGAAAGAUUUAUCGCCGAAAGAUCGGCCCGCGUCUGAUUAGCUUGUUGGUGAGGUAACGGCUCACCAAGGCGACGAUCAGUAGCNGGUCUGAGAGGAUGAUCAGCCACACUGGACUGAGACACGGCCCAGACUCCUACGGGAGGCAGCAGUGGGAAUAUUGGACAAUGGGGCAACCCUGAUCCAGCCAUGCCGCGUGAGUGAUGAAGGCCCUAGGGUUGUAAAGCUCUUUUG
rnacentral:rRNA from 1 species